rnacentral:rRNA from 1 species
UGAGGAAUAUUGGACAAUGGGUGAAAGCCUGAUCCAGCCAUCCCGCGUGAAGGAUGAAGGUUCUAUGGAUUGUAAACUUCUUUUAUACAGGGAUAAACCUACUUACGUGUAAGUAGCUGAAGGUACUGUAUGAAUAAGCACCGGCUAACUCCGUGCUAG